AGUCUAGUAUAUCCCGGGCGGUUGAACGAGUUAGGUGAGGAUAGUCACCUCUGCUAGUACCGUUAUUGCAGAUAGUGGUCACAGACGCGUCGGUGCAGGUAAAUAGGUCGGGUUAAUGGUUGCCUGAAUCUGUGGCUUUUACGGAAUCUCUUAGGCGUGGAAGUCGUGGGUCCUGGAACUACUGGAGUAGUGAAACGUGAUUCGUAUUGAAAGGAGAUUUGCCUUGUAAGGUCCGAAAGACGUGGGCUCAACCAGUUGGAACUAGUUGGGGCAUGUUCGCGACUUAGGUUAACGCGCUGCAAGGCCGCGAUCAUAUACGCAGCUAUUAGGCGCGUGCGGAGUUGUAUCGUAUACGGUAACUCGGGUCUACUGCUUAGACAGGGACGGCCGACUUUGUCGUGGUUAACUGGACGAAUCCCAGUUACCACGUACACGAGGGUGCGAGACGCACUCUGUAUAGCCGCGCGGUGGGCAUGCACAGUGCCAACGGGUACCGCGGCUAUUCAAGCAAUUGAGUAACAUCACAUAUAUGUCAAACUGAAAGAAGAUAUGGAUGCUGCAAGAGAAAACUACAUGAGACUUGAAGAAGAGCUUGACAGUUCCAAUAGAGGGAAUAUGCUACACUAAAAACCCAAGUAAGGGCUUUGGAGACUGAGCUUGAGAAGCGCGAAGCUCAUCUCUAGCAGGCAAGGCAUUCAUCGAUUUGUAACUGAGAGAUGGGUCAACAGUCAUCCUGGGAAACUCACAACAGGGGAGAGUUGAAUGAAAAAGAAAAGUCCAGUGAUGGUCGCUCAGACAUAAUUAUAUGUAUGUAGAACUCAGUUAUUUUAUGUAAUACAGUUUCAUUUUACAUACAUAGGUACUGUUCACUGUACCAGCAAGACAGCUAUGCUGUGCUUGUUAUUGAAUUCAAAUAAAUUAGGUUGAUUGUCAACAUUGAAGAUAUAUGAUUAUCAUAAUGAUAUUAUGAAAAGGUAUGAUUACAUGAUGUUUGAUAUCCA